rnacentral:rRNA from 1 species
AAAUUGAAGAGUUUGAUCAUGGCUCAGAUUGAACGCUGGCGGCAGGCCUAACACAUGCAAGUCGAGCGGAAACGAGUUAUCUGAACCUUCGAGGGACGAUAACGGCGUCGAGCGGCGGACGGGUGAGUAAUGCCUAGGAAAUUGCCCUGAUGUGGGGGAUAACCAUUGGAAACGAUGGCUAAUACCGCAUGAUGCCUACGGGCCAAAGAGGGGGACCUUCGGGCCUCUCGCGUCAGGAUAUGCCUAGGUGGGAUUAGCU